GAGCAACAGCAACAUUGAACCCAAAAAUAUCUUCAACGUUGACAUUUGACAGACUCAGAGACACAACACCACGCCACACACCACGGCAACUGACUGGCGAUAGCCUAACGGAUGCGAUAAGCAGACCCAUGUGUCAGCUUUAAGCUAGAUGAUUGCGGGCUUGAGGGACAGAAAUCCAUAAGAUGUGAUUCAGUACAUACAAUGAAUGGAAUUGAUCUCAGAAUAUCCAAGGGAAUGGAAGAAGGCAAAUGUAAUGGAAUACCAAGUGUUUAAUUGUAGAAUAUAUAAACAGAUUUUCAGCCCAAUAAAAAUUGAAAGUAAAAAUAUAUUUGCAUAAAUCGA